rnacentral:rRNA from 1 species
GACGAACGCUGGCGGCGUGCUUAACACAUGCAAGUCGAACGGUAAGGCCCUUCGGGGUACACGAGUGGCGAACGGGUGAGUAACACGUGGGUGAUCUGCCCUGCACUUCGGGAUAAGCCUGGGAAACUGGGUCUAAUACCGGAUAGGACCACUGCCUGCAUGGGUGGUGGUGGAAAGCUUUUGCGGUGUGGGAUGGGCCCGCGGCCUAUCAGCUUGUUGGCGGGGUGAUGGCCUACCAAGGCGACGACGGGUAGCCGGCCUGGGAGGGUGACCGGCCACACUGGGACUGAGAUACGGCCCAGACUCCUACGGGAGGCAGCAGUGGGGAAUAUUGCACAAUGGGCGCAAGGCUGAUGCAGCGACGCCGCGUGAGGGAUGACGGCCUUCGGGUUGUAAACCUCUUUCAGCACCGACGAAGCGCAAGUGACGGUAGGUGCAGAAGAAGGACCGGCCAACUACGUGCCAGCCGCCGCCGUAA